rnacentral:rRNA from 1 species
UACGGAGGGGGCUAGCGUUAUUCGGAAUUACUGGGCGUAAAGAGCGCGUAGGCGGUACUGUAAGUUGGAAGUGAAAGCCCAGGGCUCAACCCUGGAACUGCUUUCAAGACUGCAGAACUAGAGAUUGAUAGGGGAUGGCGGAAUUCCUAGUGUAGAGGUGAAAUUCUUAGAUAUUAGGAGGAACAUCGGUGGCGAAGGCGGCCAUCUGGGUCAAUACUGACGCUAAGGUGCGAAAGCGUGGGGAGCAAACAGGAUUAGAUACCCGUGUAGU